AUUGAACGCUGGCGGCAUGCCUUACACAUGCAAGUCGAACGGCAGCACGGGUGCUUGCACCUGGUGGCGAGUGGCGAACGGGUGAGUAAUAUAUCGGAACAUACCUUGUAGUGGGGGAUAACUAUCCGAAAGGAUAGCUAAUACCGCAUACGCUCUAAGGAGGCAAGUGGGGGAUCGCAAGACCUCAUGCUAUCAGAGUGGCCGAUAUCUGAUUAGCUAGUUGGUGAGGUAAAGGCUCACCAAGGCGACGAUCAGUAGCUGGUCUGAGAGGACGACCAGCCACACUAGAACUGAGACACGGUCCAGACUCCUACGGGAGGCAGCAGUGGGGAAUUUUGGACAAUGGGGGCAACCCUGAUCCAGCAAUGCCGCGUGAGUGAAGAAGGCCUUCGGGUUGUAAAGCUCUUUUGUCAGGGAAGAAACGGUUGUGGCUAAUAUCCAUGGCUAAUGACGGUACCUGAAGAAUAAGCACCGGCUAACUACGUGCCAGCCGCCGCAGUAA
rnacentral:rRNA from 1 species